AAUCCACAUGUCCAGGCUACCUCAUCACGCGUUCUGCACCGUGUGCAAGACAGACAUCGAUAUCAGUCACGAAGGGACAACAGGUAACGAACACAGUGUCAUAAACAAUUA